ensembl:lncRNA
AUGGAAAGGAGGUGUGGGGGUGGGGUGGACGUGAUGAUUAUGGCGGGGGGGGGAGGGUGUAGGUGGGGCAGGAAGGAGAGCGGGAAAGCCCUGCUGCUGAUGCCGUGUAUGUGUGUACGUGAGGAGACACCACACCCCCAGAAGUACCCUGUAGAAACACCCGUGCCUCAGCCUUCCAGGCCAUGCAGUACCUACCUCACCAGCAGCAGGGCUACACUGUACACUGCCACAUGACCUCUCAGCCAGGUACCUUACACUUGUGUGCCUGUGUCUACUAAUGUCUGUUGUAGGCCUCACAGUUGUGAUUGUGGCAUGUAACGUAUAAGAAGGUGUAUGUGUAAUGGUGCUGGGAUGACUUGGUGAACUGACUGUACUACUCACUUACUAUUCCCUAGCUCCCCCUGGCAGACAGAGAGAGGGACAGGGACAAAGAGAGGGACAGGGACAGAGAGCGGGACAGGGACUCAGGAGGGUGGUAAUGGUGCCGGUGGGAUCGUCUCUAGAAGGUCAUCUUGCCAGGAGGCGAACUCUUCCUCCAAGUAUUCCCACCCUUCACACCACUCAGAGCGAGGGAGAGGGGCUACAAAUGGGAUAGCGUGGGCUACAGAGACCACAGCAGACAACGUAACCACCACUCACACAACCACCGCAGCAGCAGUCGGAGGCGAAGCAGCAGCCACAAUCAGGACAUCAGCGACAGGGAGAGACAGAGACAGCAACUGCUCCAACAGCUCUGACCCUAGAUUCAACUCCAACUCCCACCAUUCCUCCAACAGCCUAUCCCCACCUCUGUCCUCCUCCUACCCCUCCUAGUCCUCCUUUUCCUCUAAAGACCUACCCCUCAGUCUCCUCUUGCCUAGAGCCCUACUCCGUGUACCAUGCCCAGAACAGUUGGGCUGGUUCUGGGGAGAGGAGCUCUGAGUCUAAUAACAACGACUCCCUCCACCUUGCCUCCCCGUGUCCCUACUACAGAUGACCAGACUAGUCUCCAUGGAACAUGCCAACCUGGGCCUAAUGUUCCAAGGACCAGACUGGGGGCACACACACACCUGGACAGAAUCACCCUGUUCUUGGAAAUAUUGUAGGAAUCUGAUUGUACUGAAACAUUGGUGUAUUGUUAGCAGGGAUUGUGCAUUGAUACAAAGGUGUAUGACAAUCAUGAAUUCUCUCCUUUCCAUCCUGUAGUCAUCCCUUCAUUCCUCUGUGGAAAACAUUGAGAUCUAAGACGAGGAUGAGGGACACACCAUUACCAUCACCAUUACACCAUUACCUACACUCACAUACACACACACACACACACACACACACAUUCACGCUAUGACUGCUGCUAUUGGACUUAUAUUGUUACUGCACAACUAUUGCACAAUUCAACAUUGUUAUUUAAAUAGAUGCCGCCCAUAUCGGCGCAUCCUCUUCACCGGUGCCAGCAUUCACAAGGAAGGUAUAAAAGGCUUAUGCCGGCAAGAAUGUGGUAAAAAUGGGCCUUUCUUUAAAAGGGGUCAUAUAAACAUUGCCCCACUUUUUUUUUUUUUUACAGGCAACACACUGUAAAUCCUAUGUUAAAAGUGUAUUAUGUUCCCUGAUGUCUUGGAGAACCACGUGUAUAGAAGAUUAGUUAAUAAUGACAGAAAAGGUAAUUCCGAUUCAGGAAACUAGGGGUAUGUCUCAAGUGACGACUUCACAGGAGCGUUGUUAAAACAUAACAAAAAAAUAUUUUAUCAAAAUGCGUUUUUUGGCAGAAAUGCCUUCUGUGACAUGUGAACUCAUGUGCCUUUAUAACAAACUUGUAUGCCAUCUGUAAAUACGAAUAAAAUUGUUAAAUUACGAGCCUUGUUGGUUAAGCCACAGAAAAAGACAGCAAUCUUCCACUAGCCAUGAUUGGCUGAGAUAAUGAUUGGGCUUGACAUGCCGAGAGAUGAGUUCCGAUUGGCCUCCCAUAUAGAAGGCUUCUGUCUAUUUGAGCUCGUCAGUCAGUAUGUGUUGGUAAUCCUGUCGAAAGCUUAUUUUAUUGAUGUAUUGUGUGGUGGAGCUGCAUAAGUGUUGCUCUCCACUUUCUGGAGGAUCAUGUUUUGAAGUCAAUGGAAUUAGAGUAUGACAGCUACAGAGAUGGAGAAAACACUUGUCUCCAGAUUACAUCUUCAAACUAAGGGCAACCGUGGUAUGACAUUCCUGACAGGGAGACGCAUCCAUCAUGCAUGAUGAUGUAUACAGGUAAGAUACAGUGCCUUGCGAAAGUAUUCGGCCCCCUUGAACUUUGCGACCUUUUGCCACAUUUCAAGCUUCAAACAUAAAUAUAUAAAACUGUAUUUUUUUUGUGAAGAAUCAACAACAAGUGGGACACAAUCAUGAAGUGGAACGACAUUUAUGGGAUAUUUCAAACUGUUUUAACAAAUCAAAAACUGAAAAAUUGGGCGUGCAAAAUUAUUCAGCCCCUUUACUUUCAGUGCAGCAAACUCUCUCCAGAAGUUCAGUGAGGAUCUCUGAAUGAUCCAAUGUUGACCUAAAUGACUAAUGAUGAUAAAUACAAUCCACCUGUGUGUAAUCAAGUCUCCGUAUAAAUGCACCUGCACUGUGAUAGUCUCAGAGGUCCG